rnacentral:rRNA from 1 species
UACGUAGGGUGCGAGCGUUGCCCGGAUUUAUUGGGCGUAAAGGGCUCGUAGGCGGUUUGUCGCGUCGGGAGUGAAAACACUGGGCUUAACUCAGUGCCUGCUUUCGAUACGGGCAGACUAGAGGCAUGCAGGGGAGAACGGAAUCCUGGUGUAGCGGUGAAAUGCGCAGAUAUCAGGAGGAACACCGGUGGCGAAGGCGGUUCUCUGGGCAUGUCCUGACGCUGAGGAGCGAAAGUGUGGGGAGCGAACAGG